rnacentral:rRNA from 1 species
UAGGGAAUCUUCGGCAAUGGACGAAAGUCUGACCGAGCAACGCCGCGUGAGUGAAGAAGGUUUUCGGAUCGUAAAACUCUGUUGUUAGAGAAGAACAAGGACGUUAGUAACUGAACGUCCCCUGACGGUAUCUAACCAGAAAGCCACGGCUAACUACGUGCCAGCAGCCGCGGUAAUACGUAGGUGGCAAGCGUUGUCCGGAUUUAUUGGGCGUAAAGCGAGCGCAGGCGGUUUCUUAAGUCUGAUGUGAAAGCCCCCGGCUCAACCGGGGAGGGUCAUUGGAAGCUGGGAGACUUGAGUGCAGAAGAGGAGAGUGUAAUUCCAUGUGUAGCGGUGAAAUGCGUAGAUAUAUGGAGGAACACCAGUGGCGAAGGCGGCUCGCUGGUCUGUAACUGACGCUGAGGCUCGAAAGCGUGGGGAGCAAACAGG